UAUUUGCCUCAUCUAUCUGUCUGUUGGUGGUUGGCUGAAGCUCUAACUCAAGGUUCUCUCGACCUAAGGCUGAUGAAGCAGUCACUACCCCAAACAUUGUUUGUCAUCAUGGAGUCUCACACGGCAAUGAAGAGCUCCAUCCUGGAAGUGGCAUUCCUUUCAUCAUAACCCACUGGCCAAAUCUGAUCACAUGGGCCACUCCACUUCAGAAACAAUACUACAGUGGGAUAAAUGAAAGAUUAAAGCUAAAAGUCUGACUGGUAGAUGCAGCUCCAGCUCUUGUUUAUGAGACAGGCUUAUGUUCAAAUCAUACUCGCUGUGUGACCAAGACAGCAGCCCAAGUCUGUUUUCAACAUUGUUGUGUUUUCUGCAAUUUUGUGAUUCUUAUAUUGCCUCAAG